UACAGAGGGUGCGAGCGUUGCUCGGAAUCACUGGGCGUAAAGGGUGCGUAGGCGGGUCUUUAAGUCAGGGGUGAAAUCCUGGAGCUCAACUCCAGAACUGCCUUUGAUACUGAGGAUCUUGAGUUCGGGAGAGGUGAGUGGAACUGCGAGUGUAGAGGUGAAAUUCGUAGAUAUUCGCAAGAACACCAGUGGCGAAGGCGGCUCACUGGCCCGAUACUGACGCUGAGGCACGAAAGCGUGGGGAGCAAACAGG
rnacentral:rRNA from 1 species